rnacentral:RNase_P_RNA from 1 species
CUUGCUGGAUAACGUCCAGUGCGAGCGAUCGUGAGGAUAGUGCCACAGAAAGAUACCGCCAGGACAAUUAAAAAUUAAAAAUUAAAAAUGUAAAAUGAGUAAUUUUUAAUUUUUAAUUUUACAUUUUUAAUUGAUCUGGUAAGGGUGCAAAGGUGCGGUAAGAGCGCACCAGCAGUAUCGAGAGGUGCUGGCUCGGUAAACCCCGGUUGGGAGCAAGGCGAUAGGAACUACGGUUGGUCUUUUACCAGUUCCGCUCAAUGAGAGCCGCUAGAGGCGUUU